AUGGAUGAGUUAGAUUAUUCUUGUCUUGCUAACCAUAAAUUCAUCCUCCUCUUCUUUGAAGCCAUGCCGGGCCUUAAAAUUAACUUUGCAAAAAGUGAGGUGAUUGUCACUGGUGUGGAUGAAUGUGAGGCUUUAAGGGUGUCCCAUCUCCUUAACUGUAAGUUAGGAUCAUUUCCUUUCAAAUAUUUGGUCCUCCCUAUCUCCCCGGAUGUCCUUCAUGCGAGAGAUUUUGCUCCGGUGGUAACCAAGGUGGGCAAUAGAGUUCUGCCCUGGCGUGGCAGAUAUAAUACCAAUGCGGGCAAAGUGGCUUUGAUCAAUGCCUGCCUGUCUUCCCUUCCUAUGUUCCUAAUGGGCUUUUACUUGCUUUCGGGAGGGAUUCAUGCUGGCUUUGACAAGCACCGUGGGGCUUUUUAUUGGAAUGCCGCUGAUAACCGUCGUAAGUAUCGCUUUGUCAAGUGGAAGUUGAUGUGUCAACCCAAAAACCUUGGAGGGUUGGGUAUUAUGAACACCACCAUAAUGAACCAAUGUCUUAUGGUCAAAUGGUGGUGGAAGAUUAUGAGUGGUGGGGUCCAGUCCUUAUGGUUCCACAUUCUAAAAGCUAAGUACUUCCCCAUGUCUAGCCCGAUGUUCGCCAUCGGACGUGUCGGCUCUCAAUUUUGGAAGGCCUUGGUGAAAGUUAGGCCUGCUUUCUAG
rnacentral:rRNA from 1 species